rnacentral:tRNA from 1 species
GCCAGAAUGGCACAAUGGUUUGAGUGUUGGACUAUGACUCUGGAAACCCAGGGUUUGAUUCCCCAUUUGGCCA